CAUAGGUUAAUGAGGCGAACCGGGGGAACUGAAACAUCUAAGUACCCCGAGGAAAAGAAAUCAACCGAGAUUCCCCCAGUAGCGGCGAGCGAACGGGGAGCAGCCCAGAGCCUGAAUCAGUGUGUGUGUUAGUGGAAGCGUCUGGAAAGGCGCGCGAUACAGGGUGACAGCCCCGUACACAAAAAUGCACAUACUGUGAGCUCGAUGAGUAGGGCGGGACACGUGGUAUCCUGUCUGAAUAUGGGGGGACCAUCCUCCAAGGCUAAAUACUCCUGACUGACCGAUAGUGAACCAGUACCGUGAGGGAAAGGCGAAAAGAACCCCGGCGAGGGGAGUGAAAAAGAACCUGAAACCGUGUACGUACAAGCAGUGGGAGCACGCUUAGGCGUGUGACUGCGUACCUUUUGUAUAAUGGGUCAGCGACUUAUAUUCUGUAGCAAGGUUAACCGAAUAGGGGAGCCGAAGGGAAACCGAGUCUUAACUGGGCGUUAAGUUGCAGGGUAUAGACCCGAAACCCGGUGAUCUAGCCAUGGGCAGGUUGAAGGUUGGGUAACACUAACUGGAGGACCGAACCGACUAAUGUUGAAAAAUUAGCGGAUGACUUGUGGCUGGGGGUGAAAGGCCAAUCAAACCGGGAGAUAGCUGGUUCUCCCCGAAAGCUAUUUAGGUAGCGCCUCGUGAAUUCAUCUCCGGGGGUAGAGCACUGUUUCGGCAAGGGGGUCAUCCCGACUUACCAACCCGAUGCAAACUGCGAAUACCGGAGAAUGUUAUCACGGGAGACACACGGCGGGUGCUAACGUCCGUCGUGAAGAGGGAAACAACCCAGACCGCCAGCUAAGGUCCCAAAGUCAUGGUUAAGUGGGAAACGAUGUGGGAAGGCCCAGACAGCCAGGAUGUUGGCUUAGAAGCAGCCAUCAUUUAAAGAAAGCGUAAUAGCUCACUGGUCGAGUCGGCCUGCGCGGAAGAUGUAACGGGGCUAAACCAUGCACCGAAGCUGCGGCAGCGACGCUGAUGCGUUGUUGGGUAGGGGAGCGUUCUGUAAGCCUGUGAAGGUGUGCUGUGAGGCAUGCUGGAGGUAUCAGAAGUGCGAAUGCUGACAUAAGUAACGAUAAAGCGGGUGAAAAGCCCGCUCGCCGGAAGACCAAGGGUUCCUGUCCAACGUUAAUCGGGGCAGGGUGAGUCGACCCCUAAGGCGAGGCCGAAAGGCGUAGUCGAUGGGAAACAGGUUAAUAUUCCUGUACUUGGUGUUACUGCGAAGGGGGGACGGAGAAGGCUAUGUUGGCCGGGCGACGGUUGUCCCGGUUUAAGCGUGUAGGCUGGUU
rnacentral:rRNA from 1 species